rnacentral:RNase_P_RNA from 1 species
UGAGUAAAUCGGGUGGUCGCGGGCACAGGGGCCGCAAGGCCGUGCCUGAGGAAAGUCCGAGCUCCACAGGGCAGGGUGCUGGGUAACACCCAGCGGGGGCGACCCCAGGGAAAGUGCCACAGAAAUGCAGACCGCCAUUUGGGAAGUGAGGACCUCUCACCUCCCAAAUGGCAAGGGUGCAACGGUGCGGUAAGAGCGCACCAGCAGCCGGGCGACCGGCUGGCUAGGUAAACCCCACCCGGAGCAAGACCAAAUAGGGGAACCAUGGAGUGGCCCGCUCCGUUCCCGGGUUGGUCGCUAGAGGCACCGGGCAACCGUGUGCCCCAGACAGAUGACCACCCUCGACAGAACUCGGCUUACAGGUUUACUCACCCG